AAACUCUAGUUAAUUGACCACUGACUUAAUCAGACCUGGAAAAACAAGUGCAAAUUAUGGCCAGAAACAGCUCCUUGAAAUAAUUGCACAGAAUCUGUGUCCUUUGAGGGUUUUUGGUAUUCUCUAGAAAUAGAUAGCAAGCUAACAGCCAUGACCCUCUGACCUCACUUUUUCUGGCAAAGAGCAGCCCAAUUGUUGUAUAUUAUAAACACCACUUCCUAUCCUCUUCCUGUGUGCUGACAUGUUUUCCCAUGGCAGGUCACUGCUGUAAGCAUAGGUCUGCUUUCCUCAAGAAAGAGGCCCUUCCAUAAUUUAUGAAACUAGAGUCCAGCUGGCAAAAUAAACACAUUCUGGAACAGGUGAUGAAAAAUGUGGAAGAGCCUUUGUCUGAAGAGCACAUUAUUUUAUGUUGAACUUUUAAGGAUGUUUCUGAGGAAAUGCAUGUUGCAUCUACAUGAGCACUGAAAGAGUUCUUCCCCAUUUGUAUUCCUGAGCUUGAGAAAGCAGGUGUGGUGUGCCAUCUUAUUGCAGUGGACACAAGGUCAAACUCCUCUCUGGUGUAAUUCCAUUUGACGAAAGGAAGCUUUGAAAUAUGUCUUGAAAUCAACUCCAGGAGUGAAAGAUAGACACUUGCUUGGUUACUGUGCAUGUAACACUGGUCAACAGAAAUAGAUGAACCCAUUAUCCCUUUUUAAAAAAACUAAAGAUCAAUGAAUGCUAAUGCAUUAUUUACUUUAUUGUUCUGAUGGAGGCUGGGUGAAACCUUGUUAAAGCUGGUGGGUUUGACAGCUGCCCUUCAUUCAGGAUAAAUGUAAGAAGCAGGAAUACUGUUACUGAAACAAAAGGAACCACCACCCAAAGCACAGGUCACAUUCAA